rnacentral:rRNA from 1 species
CAGUAGCCGCGGUAAUACGGAGGGGGCUAGCGUUGUUCGGAAUUACUGGGCGUAAAGCGCACGUAGGCUGCUUUGUAAGUUAGAGGUGAAAGCCUGGUGCUCAACACCAGAACUGCCUUUAAGACUGCAGAGCUAGAACGUCGGAGAGGUGAGUGGAAUUCCGAGUGUAGAGGUGAAAUUCGUAGAUAUUCGGAAGAACACCAGUGGCGAAGGCGGCUCACUGGACGACUGUUGACGCUGAGGUGCGAAAGCGUGGGGAGCAAACAGGAUUAGAUACCCCAGUAGUCCCUGUCUCUUAUAA